rnacentral:telomerase_RNA from 1 species
CGUCGGCGCAUUCUUGGCUCAUGUUUUGUGUGUUUUUNGCAGCUCACGAAUCUAACCCUAACAAAUCAUUUUCUUUAGUUNNNNNNNUGGUGACCCCGCAUGUUUACCGCUGUUUUGUGGUUGGUUUUCAGCGAAUCCUGGGGUCUUCGGUUGUGCGUUUCGUGGUUUUAAAAAAGCUAGCUCUGUGUUUCAGGAAUGCGUCCAUGUUUGGUUUAUCUCGACUUGGGUGUCGUUCUCUCGAUCACGCUCCUCGGGGCCACAUCGAUCCCUUGCUCAUUGCUAAGGAUGUCGAUGUGAAGGGUUCGUCCCUGCCGAUCGAUGGNAUCCCGUACGGACAACCUCGAGAGGCCAAUACGAGUAAUGGGAAUACACGAUUGUUUGCGGCCUUCUUGAAAUGUGGAAUGGACUGC